CAUGAGGUGGUAGGAGAGGCCAAUGAGAGAAUUAACACUAGGGAAAAUCCAAGCACUGGUGUCGCUAACUUACUGGUUUUGCUGUUGCAUGAAGAAUGAGGUAAUGUCUUCAUGAGUUCUCUUGUGGCACUAUCAGGAGUGUUCUUGCGGGGUAUGGUUUGGAGCAAUGAAUGCCCAAUAUAUGUUUUAUUUGGAGACGUUUGCCCUUUAAGUAAUCAAGUAUUCAACGUGCAAGAGAUGGCAAGCCACUUCAAAAUUCGUCUAUUCACGACCUGUGCUAUCAUUCUAACAAGGUCAAUCUGUCUCUUUAGAGACUUGACCGGCCUUGCUGUCAAAAGAUGCAGGACUUGUUGGCCGAUAUCAUGGACCUGUCUAUUGCUAUUGUUCGAGAAUGACAAACAUCGGCACCAGUACCUGCACAGAAAAUUAGCCUAUCUAUAUAGCAGUGGCUGUGAAGUCUGGAGGAUGGUUUUUGCCCUACAGCUGGUGCCGAACUGCCGACUUUGAUCAUUAUCAUUCAUUGACAUAUCACUUGGCCUGAUCUUGGUGUAGGACUGUAGGUGAAACAUACAGAGAAUGUUUUCACUUCCUUUUCAAGUUCAGGCUGCGAUUUCAGCUACGCUAAAAAGAAGUGGUUGAUGUCAGAGUCAAGAGAGUCGGCUUGACUACAUGUCGAUGAGCACUAUCUGUGCUAAUCCUUUGACCAAGGGGUCUUGUGUCACGGACUUUGUGCUCCUUGGAAGUUUUAUGGAUUUUUUUUUGAAGAAAUAGUUAUUCAGAUAAAUCUCGCUUUCUUUUCUCGUA